rnacentral:lncRNA from 1 species
UUUGAAUUCUUCGGACGUUGGAGAACAAUUCAUUACUUGUAACUGGUAGCGAGAGUGGAGGGGAUGGCGGUGAGCGACUUCGAGGCCCCCCUGUCGAAGACGAAACCCUAAGUUUCUUGUGAGCACGAUCUGCCAUUUGGGGUUAUUAGGGUUUUGAAAGUGGGUAAAAGGUUAAAUGGGUUGGAGGUUAUUAGGCCUUUGAAAGGGGGAAGUAGGUCACAUGGCUGUUUAUUUCGAAUGAGGUAGUGGGUGAUAACAAAAACUGUCAGUGAAACCCACGAAGGAACAACGAUGAUAGCGAAAAAAUGAAACCUUUCGAGAAAAGACGCCAAUGAUGGACCCAAGCGAGACUUCCUCCGAGCACUUCAAUGGCGGACAAAGGACUUCCUGCAGAGAAUUGAUCGACCCAAGCACCAACGAACAAGGGUGAAGAAAAAGGACUUCGGUGGUGGAGCGAGAGUUUCGAAUGGUGGACUUCAAUGACGGUGGCAAGUCGAGAGUGUCUCGAGUGUUUGGAAUGGUGGAGAGAAAAUGGUGGAGUCAGACUUUGGAAUGAGAAAACUUGAGAGAGAGAGAGAGAGAGAGAAAGAUUGGAAGGGAUGAAGGCGCGAAAAGAUUUUUCUCACAAUGCCCUUCUGAAAAUGUCCUUCGUUUUCCAUUUAAACCUAUUUAAAAAACCAUUUAAAACAACAAAUGACAGAACGACACGUGUCGUUGUCAAUUUGUUGUCAAAUAGGUAUUGUUAAAGAAAUGUUUU